rnacentral:rRNA from 1 species
AGAGUUUGAUCCUGGCUCAGGAUGAACGCUGGCGGCGUGCCUAAUACAUGCAAGUCGAGCGAACAGAUAAGGAGCUUGCUCCUUUGACGUUAGCGGCGGACGGGUGAGUAACACGUGGGUAACCUACCUAUAAGACUGGAAUAACUCCGGGAAACCGGGGCUAAUGCCGGAUAAUAUUUAGAACCGCAUGGUUCUAAAGUGAAAGAUGGUUUUGCUAUCACUUAUAGAUGGACCCGCGCCGUAUUAGCUAGUUGGUGGGGUAAUGGCUUACCAAGGCAACGAUACGUAGCCGACCUGAGAGGGUGAUCGGCCACACUGGAACUGAGACACGGUCCAGACUCCUACGGGAGGCAGCAGUAGGGAAUCUUCCGCAAUGGGCGAAAGCCCGACGGAGCAACGCCGCGUGAGUGAUGAAGGUCUUCGGAUCGUAAAACUCUGUUAUUAGGGAAGAACAAAUGUGUAAGUAACUGUGCACGUCUUGACGGUACCUAAUCAGAAAGCCACGGCUAACUACGUG